rnacentral:rRNA from 1 species
AUUGAACGCUGGCGGUAGGCCUAACACAUUCAAGUCGAACGAGUGGCGGACGGGUGAGUAAUGUCUGGGAAACUGCCUGAUGGAGGGGGAUAACUACUGGAAACGGUAGCUAAUACCGCAUCCCAUCGGAUGUGCCCAGAUGGGAUUAGCUUGUGGGUGGGGUAACGGCUCACCAAGGCGACGAUCCCUAGCUGGUCUGCGAGGAUGACCAGCCACACGGGAACUGAGACAAGGUCCAGGCUCCUACGGGAGGCAGGAGUGGGGAAUAUUGCAAAAUGGGCGCAAGCCUGAUGCAGCCAUGCCGCGUGUAUGAAGAAGGCCUUCGGGUUGUAAAGUACUUUCAGCGGGGAGGCGUUACCCGCAGAAGAAGCACCGGCUAACUCCGUGCCAGCAGCCGCGGUAAUUC